rnacentral:rRNA from 1 species
GACGAACGCUGGCGGCGUGCCUAAUACAUGCAAGUUGAGCGCUGAAGGUUGGUACUUGUACCAACUGGAUGAGCAGCGAACGGGUGAGUAACGCGUGGGGAAUCUGCCUUUGAGCGGGGGACAACAUUUGGAAACGAAUGCUAAUACCGCAUAAAAACUUUAAACACAAGUUUUAAGUUUGAAAGAUGCAAUUGCAUCACUCAAAGAUGAUCCCGCGUUGUAUUAGCUAGUUGGUGAGGUAAAGGCUCACCAAGGCGAUGAUACAUAGCCGACCUGAGAGGGUGGUCGGCCACAUUGGGACUGAGACACGGCCCAAACUCCUACGGGAGGCAGCAGUAGGGAAUCUUCGGCAAUGGACGAAAGUCUGACCGGGCAACGCCGCGUGAGUGAAGAAGGUUUUCGGAUCGUAAAACUCUGUUGGUAGAGAAGAACGUUGGUGAGAGUGGAAAGCUCAUCAAGUGACGGUAACUACCCAGAAAGGGACGGCUAACUACGUG